rnacentral:rRNA from 1 species
GUCCACGCCCUAAACGAUGUCGACUGGUUGUUGGGGGUUUGACACUCUCAGUAACGAAGCUAACGCGUGAAGUCGACCGCCUGGGGAGUACGGCCGCAAGGUUAAAACUCAAAGGAAUUGACGGGGACCCGCACAAGCGGUGGAUUAUGUGGAUUAAUUCGAUGCAACGCGAAAAACCUUACCUACCCUUGACAUGUCCUGGAGGCCCCUGAGAGGGGGCUGUGCCCGAAAGUGAACGGGAACACAGGUGCUGCAUGGCUGUCGU